AGGCGCGGACAAUGAAGCGGAUGAGAGCGACGCAGACCGAACCACUAAAGCCUGACGGAGAGCACGAACUAGCGGAAGAGAAAGAAAGACGGAUAGAGCGCGACCGGCCAGAGUAUCGGAGGCAGAAGGAAACGCUAGUGUGGGAGAGAGAGAGAGAGAGAGAGAGAGAGAGAGAGAGAGAGAGAACGAGAGAGAGAGAGAGUGACAGAGAGGGAGAGGCAGAGGGA
rnacentral:misc_RNA from 1 species